rnacentral:lncRNA from 1 species
GUGGGACGAGGACCGAUAUGGAUGGUGACCAUGGGGCCAAGCUUUGGACGGAGGUCGCGGAGGAUUGGUUCGAUUUGGAAGAAAGAUUUGCGGAGCCAUAAGAUGCCGCCGAUGAUAGGGAAAGUGGCGGGGCCUGGAGGGAGAGUGUGGUGAAGCUUUUUGGAAGGGUAGAAAAGGUUCAGGAAGGCCUUGAGAAGUAGAGAAAUAGAGAUCGUGAGAAGGAAGAGGAACCAAGUUUCCAUUGCUUUUGGCCUUUGGUUAAAGUGUAGAGAUGAUAUGACAAGAAAACCUUUUAAGAUUAGAGUUUCUAGGGUGUCUCUGUCGGUGGAUUGUUCAGUGCAUUGAUCAGUAUCCAAUAUUCGAUGCUCAAAAUAUAUGCUUUUGAAUAAAAGAUUUUUUACCAAAAAAAUUCUAGUCCCUUAAAGGAAAUAUAAUAUUUUUAAAAAAAUUAUUAAAUUUACAUUUUUUAUAAUAUUCAAUCAAUUUUUUUAAUUUUAUUUAAAUCAAAUAAACUCUUAUCAUUAUUCAUCAAUUAAUUUUUAUUAAUUAAAAUAGCAUCUAUGCAUAUAAUAUUUGUGAAAAGUAAAUUUGUCAUAUUAUCAUGUCAAUAUAUCAUAUCCACAUGUUACAUUAUUAUUUACUUUGAUAUAUUAAUGUUAUGUGAUAUAAAAUAAUAUGUAUUAUUUUAAUAAAAAAUUAAUAAUAAUUAAUAAUAUAUUUAAUUUAAAAUAAACAUAUAAAAAUUUAAUUAAAUAUAUUAAAAAUUAAAAAAAAUAAAACUUUCAAAAACUUUUUUGAAUAUUAUACAAAAAAAGCAUAUUAAAAAGAUUUUUAUAAGGUAAGAAUAGACCAAACUUGAUUUUAUCAAACAAUCUUGAACUAUUUCCUACGGCUCUAUGGAUUUUUCUUAGAUAAGAAUAAUCUUCAUUGCUAAAAUACAAUGGAUUUUUAUUUUAUAUAAAAAUAAAAAUAUGAUGUAUAUAUAUAUGUGUUUAAAAUUUUAAAGAAUAAUUACUUAUCAAUAAAAUUUAAAGAAUAAUUUUAUUAUCCUCUUAUUGGUCAAAAUAUGAAAAUCUUUUUUAUGGAUAAGUGAAAAUAUGAAAAAUAAAUUAUUACUAAACAAUACAGUCUACUUCUCUACGUACCAACAAAAAAGAAAUGAAUCUACUUUUAAGGAUGUAUAAAAUAUGAUAUAUAGGAACAACUUGAAAUAAGUUCAACUGUAUUUUCAUCCUAUUAGCAUGUACCCUAACUACGAGUCAUUAAUAUGUUAAAAUAAUAUAUUAUUUUAAUAUAAAUGUAUAAAAUAUAUAAGGUGUAAUGUAUAUUUAAAAUUUAUUUACAACCAUAAUAAUUAAUCUCAAACUUUUAAUUAUUGGCGGGUCAAUUUUGAACCAGUUUAUGUGACAACUUUCAAUUUAACUUUUUUUAAUUUUGGCCAUGAAAAGAGAGACAGAAAGUGUUUGUUUGAGGAGCGAAGGGGGAACAGAGAAGAAAGAGAGUGGGCUAAACUAUUGAAUUGGUUGAGUUGGCCCAAUUUUAACAUCUCUAAAAUGAGCAAAUAAAUAGAAAACUAAGAAAUGAUUUGUGUAUUCCAAUUUAUCCUCUACAUUCGAGAUAGAGUUUUAAAUGUGUUCCAUUGAGCAUAUUUAUGAAAAUUAAUAAUUAAUUAAUUACAUCUAAUCCCUUUUAUGAAAUUCAAAAACUCCACUAAUAUAUAAAGUAAUAAUACAUUUUAAUAUGCUUUUAUAAAAAAGUACCUUUUAAUAUUCAUCUAUAACUUACUUUAAAAAUUAUGAUUAUUUAUUUUUGAGAAUUUUCAACUUUUAAAUUUAUUUAUAUUGAAGUUAUAGCAUUUGGUUCACUAAUCCUAUAUAGAAUUUAUGCAUUGACAAAUGUAUCAAAUAUAAACUCAUUUCUUAUUAUUUAAUCUUGAUUUGAAUAAUAAAAGAUUAACAGUACAUGGGUCCCAAAAACAUAUCAAUAAAUCUUCCCAUAUGUCAUAUAUAUAUAUAAGGUCUCUAUUUAUAUAACUAAACAUAGUAUGCAAUGGUAAAAGUAUCCCAAUAAUUUUUAUAGUCAUGUAUUUUCUUUAAUUUAGUCAUUGACAUUAUUUCUUUUAACAGUAAAAUUAAAUGAUAUCAUGAAAAGAGGCUAAAUUACUUUAAUUUUUAAAAUUAAUAAAUUAAUUUAUUUUGAUUUUAAAUAUAAAAAUUAAAUUAAAAAACAUAUACGAAUACAGAAUUAUUUAAAUAUUUUAAUUAUUUGAGCACGAAAAUUUUCACUUUUUGUGAUACUAAAAAAAUUUUACUUCAAUGAACAUAGUGAUGUUGAAGUUGAAGGUUGAAGAUCAAAAAAAAGAAAGCAUUUGAAACGUGCAUGCCAAGUUUGUAUUUGCAUCUGCAUCACAUGUGAGAUUAAGAUUGAGUUAAUGGGCUUGCACCUACAAGAAUAGAUGGCCCUUUACCAAUUAUUUCAACUUCACACGUUUAGGUCUACUGCCUAUCUAACACUACCUUUGAUGAAACCACAAAAGCCUAUAACCCUAAAUUCUUUGCCUAUAAUGUAACUUCAGUCUUGUUACAGGAAUCCUUCCCAAAUACUCAUUCAUCCAUCUACUUUAUUUUCCUACCGGACAACUUUUUUCAAAAAACUCCUUUUGUUUUCUUUGAUAUUUCUAUCACUUGUAUUACGGUAUCAUUGAAUUUUCAUUUGACCUUCUCACGUGAACUCUCAAUAAAUUUAACAACAACAUAUUUAGGCCUAACAAACACAUUCUUGACCUGCACUAUGACCAUCUCAAAUAUUUUCUUAACUGGUUCAAGCCCAUCCCUAUUUGAAAAGAAUGGCUUACAACGUAUUAAAAGUUCUAUAAGGAUCAUAAGUAUAUUCUCACCAUAUUUCACAAGCUCUACAAAUAUACAGAUGCUAUCCAAUACUUUCCAUGUAUGACCAUCUUCUCUAGCCAACCACACUCCUUCCAUAAUGAAAUUCAUUUCCAUCCUCAAGAGUAUGUUGAGAUAAAAAACAACUCUAUGAGAUGAACAUAGCCAUUCUAAUGGAAAUUUAGCCCCAGCUUCAUGACCAACCUUGAAAGGAAUACCUUGGAAGCUACAUCACUCAAUUAAGGGUUAACAGACAAAUCUACGAAGACAAACAUAAAAAUCCAACCAUAAAACCAUUAGAUCUUGUCUUCAAGUUCAAUCUAUCCAAGCUGAAGUCAGUUCAAUGGAACUCAAAUUGACAAACACCUAUAAUUCAAAAAGCCCAGUCAAAAGCUCGAGCUAGCCUCCAACAAACCCAAGACCCCUAUGCCUAUGAUUUUAAGAAUGAUCCAUAUGACUUGGGUGAUGAUUUUGAUCCAGAAGACAUUUUUGUUAAUGAGCUAUGCCUAAAGCCAAGAAUAACCAAGGCAUCCACUAGCAAACGUGAAAAGUAUCUCUUGAAGAUGAAAUGGAAGCAACAAACAGAUCCCUUGAACAAAUAUUCGACUACAACUUCUCCCCUGGAGCAGACAAUAGCCAUCUCAAUUUCCCAUUCGACAGCCCAUGAAAACCCAAAAAUCCAAAGCCUAAAAGAUCAAAAUUCAGUCUAUGUUCAAGUGUGCCAAGUCAUGAGCAAAUAAAUGCAUCAAGACAAAAAAUAAAGGACUCCAAUGCUUUCUUUAAAAGUAACGCCACCUCAAAAGAAACGAAAAGAAAUCAUAUUUUUUUUAUGUUUUUAUUUUUAUAAUUUUUUAAAAAAUAUGCAUCAAUAAUAUAAUAUAUAAUGUAAUUUUAAUCUUUUCAUAAGAACUUUAUAAGUGUCAAGUCACUAUCACAAAUAAUGAUUAGUUUGUUGUCAUGUGAUCUUAUAAUGGCUAUAUAAGGCAACUCUUUCACUAGGAAAAGAUCAAGUUUCAAUUAUCAAAGUUUUUAGUUACAAUUUUCUUUUGUAAAAUAUUGAGUGAAUUACCAAGUAUGUUUUUCUAAACUUUCUCUUUUUAGCUACUCUCUCCUCUCAAUUAGUUUCUAAGUAUGAAUCCACUGCUCACACCUAGUAAGUAAUGAUUCGAGACAUAUAUUAUACGAUUGUCACUUCCAUGGAUUCUUUACAUUAAAUAUCUUAUGGAUUUGUUUUAUCGACCAUCACUCAGCAUCAUUGCACAAAAUUAACAUUGAAAACUGGUACUUCAUGAAUCCGUCACUAUAGCACGAUAGUGUGGUUUUUGUGACCCUAUUACCUUAAGCACAUCAUAAGGUCUAUAAAAGUCUGAGACCUUGAUUGGGCCUGUGUUAAGCUAAGAGGGCGUGAGCUGACUACAACCGCAUGUGAGACUAUGUUUAGUACAUUUGAUAUGGGUGCCUGAAUAUCGACGCUUAGUGCUAUGGAUUACGAUUUUCAUAUGUGUAUUUUAAUUUUUAACUUCAAUCACUAAAGCAAAGACAAGGGAUUAACUAGUUUAUAUUGAACCUUGCUUUAUCUUCCAUGCUCUUCCUAAAUUCACAAGAAAGCAGGUGGCUAGUCCAGGAAACCAAUAUACUUUACAUGUGUAAAGUUGAUGCUUUACAUGAGCCCAAUAUGCAACCUUUUAAGGUAGUUCAAUUAAAGGCGAAUAUUUGUCAACCUAAGUUGACAUUUAUUGUCUAUCAGUGUAAGUAGUGGAUUCAUUCAUAAGAGAAAUUAUCAUCAUUUAUUGAAUUAUCAUCAAAGGAGGCAACAAUGCUGCUGGAGUACACUACAAAAUAAGUUAUUUUGUCUUGUAAUGGAGUCUAACUCACUUGUAUUCAGUAUCCAACCAAACAUGAAUCCAGAACUCAAUCCAUUUAAUGCCAUAAAUGUACUAUAUAGGACACAACCAAGCUUCCCAUAUAUAUGCAAGAUAUAUAAACUUUUAAUCUUUGCUCUCAUUUAAUUAGAUAUAAUUCAACAAAACGGAUUGAUAAGGAUUUUAAAAUAUAAUUUAGCUUAUAUUCGACAACCUUAUCAUUUAGGUUAUAAAAUUUAGGAUGUCUUGGCAAAAUGAAAGUGGCUCGAAGUAGCUGAAUGACUUAAAUUCAAUAAGAAAUGGAGGCAACAAUGCUGCUGGAGUACACUACAAAAUAAGUUUUUUUGUCUUGUAGUGGAGUUUAACUCGCCCGUAUUCAGUAUCCAAACAAACAUGAAUCCAAAACUCAAUCCAUUUAAUGUCAUAAACGUACUAAAUAGGACACUACCGAGCUUCCCAUAUAAAUGUAAUAUAUAUAUAUAUAUAUAUAUAAUAGAGAGAGAAAGAGAGAGAGAGAGUUAAAAAACGUAAAUAAUAAAUAUCAAUUAAACGAAAUUUUAAUUAAAUUGUUGAGAAGUAGAAUUGUAAGGAUUUGUGUGGCGAUUGAUAUUUUACUAGAAAUGUGAUUGUUAAAAAGAUAAUAUUGUCACAUUUUUUAUAGCAUAAAAAAGUAAUGAUUGCUGUGAAUGUGAUUGUAUUGUAGUAUUUAGUUUGAAAAUGCUUUGUUGAGAAUAUUAUGUAAAUUUACAAAAUUAUAUAUGAAAAUAUAAAGUUGAAUAAAUUUAUAUUUUUUUAAUGUAAAUUUUUAACUUUUUUACGUUAUCUCUUAAAUUAAUAAAUAAUAACAUAAUAAAUAUAAUAUAAUAUUUAUAUAUUAAUUAUUCAAAUAUUAAAAUAUGUGACAUUACUAAUUAUUUAUUUUUAAUAAAUUAAUUAAGUUUUUAAAAAUUAAAUUAAUUAAUUUACAUUAUUUGACAAAAAUAUUAGUUAAUUAAUAAAUUAAUUAAUUUAAUUAACUUAAAAUAAGUAAUCAAUUAAUAUUGGAAUUGUAACAUGGGUACCUUUUCUUCAAGUUAUAUCUGGAUAUCCAAGUUGUCACACAAUCCACUACUUUUCUUUUCUUUUCUUUUUUUUCUUCGUGCACCCAUAGUCGUUCCUAUGGCUUCUUUUUUUUUUUUUUUUUUUUUCUUAUUCUUCCUUCAUGUUCCUAUCACCGGAUUCAAAUAGCACCCCUCUCUCCAAUUCAAGACGGAAUCACUUUUCGUCUCAUAGUUAUUGCUCCUUGACCUCACUAAUAAUUGGUUUUGAAACUUUAAGAUGUCUUUGGCAGAAUGAAAAUGGAUCGAAAUAUCUAAAUUACUUCAAUUAGUCACUCUUCUGGGUUCUUUUACGAUUAAUUCAAGAAAUAAACAAAAAAUAAUAAUAAUCGUAAUAGAUCUAUUAGAAACAAAACUUUGUGUCGCUAAUCAAUUAAGUAUUAAAACUUGGUCGUAACAAGGUAAAUAUACCGAUUGGCUGCAACAUUUUAAUUUGGCAAUCAUUGAAAAUUUGAUUUGACCUUUGUAAAUAUAUUUAAGGGAAAAAAUGCGAGGCUAUAACUAUCUUUCAAUGGUCGUAAUAAACCUUUGUAAGAUACAGACAACAUAGAAAACAAGAGCAUAACAGAUGUCAACUAUGUAUGAAGUUCCCUGAGUAUGCAGGAAAAAAUCGUAGUAGUUUAUGAUAAUAAUAUGACUAGACGUGAUAAUUAUUAAUUAUUUAAUGUGAAGGAAAGUUCAAAGACAACUCAAUAAAAGUUUAACUUUUUCCUUUUUUUUUUAAUGAAACUUUGCAUGACAGGAAUCCAAGAAAUGCCACAGAAAUUUCAGGACAACUUGACCUAAAACCAGAAUACCUUGUCUUGUGUUAAAAGCUUAAAUUGUGUGACAAUAAUCAAGUUUGUUGCCUAUUAUUCAGUGAGAAGUAACUGUCAAGGUUGCCCCAUUCACAAUUAUUUCUGAUUAGACAAAUUCAUAAAGUCAUAUAGUAUCUAUCCAAAAAACAGAAAGUUUUACAAAGUCAUAUAGAGCAUACAAGCGAGGACAGCACAUUAAUUAAAAGUUAAAGUGACAUCCGACCCCAUACCUAAACAUAGUAUUUAAUUUCUUGAUAGAAAAUCAAGACCUUAUCUCUCCCUUGGUGAAAUGUGGGCCCGCAAUGGAGUCUUCAUCACUAUUGUGAACUCCUGCUUCUCCUCCAGGCUAAUCUCAUCUCCAUCCAUGGCCUUCCAUUCGAAUUUCCAAAUCAAAUUUGCCACAAAAUACUCCAAAUGAAGCAUGGCUAAGCCAAUUCCAGGACAAAUUCUUCUCCCAACACCAAAAGGCAUCAUCUUAAUCUCCCUACUCCCUGUUAUAUCAAACACUUCCCCACUACCAUCAUCACUUCUCAAGAACCUCUCAGGCUUAAAUGCCAUUGGAUCCUCCCACACCUUUGGAUCCCACCCCAUAUCGGCCACCAUGAAAUUGACAGUUCCAUUCUUUGGGACCAAAAAUCCUCCCAGGACUGUGUCUUCUGUCGCACAAUGAGGCAACACAAAGUGCCCUGGUGGGUGCCUUCUUAGCCCUUCUAAAACCACUGCUUUCAAAUAAGGCAUCUUUUGCAAAUCAUCUUCUUUGAUUUCUUCCGCCCCAUCUCCUACAACCCCUUUGAUUUCAAGCAAUAAUUUAUCUUGAACAUGAGGGUACUUCACCAAAUUUGCCAUGAUCCACUGCAAAGCAGUGGAGGUCGUGUCAGUGCCACCAUUAAGAAACUCAGAGGCCAAACUGACAAUUUCUCCUUCCUCAAGCUUCCUUUUCUCCUCCGGUAACUCCAAAUCCAACAAAGUAUCAACAUAUGCUAAAACAUAAUCAUCACUUGCCUUCUUAGUCAAGUUCUCCUCUUUAGCUUUCUUUCUUGCUCUUAUCAGAGGAAUCAGCAAAUCUUCUUGAUCUUUACGCAGCUGAUAAAACUGCUCCCACCUCUUACGAAGCAAAACCUUGGUCACUCUAGGCCAAAAGUUAAGUAUAUUGAAUCUUCCAAAACCUAACAGCACCCUUUGCAGAACCGCCUCAAUCUCUUUGAUUUGAUCUUGACUAAGCUUGUCACCAAAACACAUCAAAACCAAUAAACAAAACAUAGCAUAUUUAAAUUGAGCCAAAACCUGAACUGCUUCACCAGUUUCAGCCUUUGACUGUAAACCAUCAAAAAGGAUUUCCAAAACCCAUUUACGUGCAAGAGAAUACGACUUUAUACGUGAAGGAUGGAGGAUUUCUGACGUCAGAUUCCGCCGCAAAAGCCGCCAGGUAGGGCCGUAGAAGGCGGAGCUGAUGCUAUGUUGGUUGCUACUCAUAAUCUUAUUAAUAGGAAGAGCUUUGGGGCGGUCUGAAAAUAGUGAACCGCUCUGUACCAAAGCCUGGUGAGCAAGGGAACGAUCGAAGACAAAGAUGGCGGGACGAGGACCUAUGUGGAUGGUGACCAUGGGGCCAAGCUUUGUACCGAGGUGGCGGAGGAUUGGUUCGAUUUGGAAGAAAGAUUUGCGGAGCCAUAAGAUGUUGCCGAUGAUAGGGAAAGUGGGAGGGCCUGGAGGGAGAGUGUGGGGAAGCUUUUUGGAAGGGUAGAAGAGGUUGAGGAAGGCCUUGAGAAGGAGAGAAAUAGAGAUCGUGAGAACGAUGAGGAACCAGGUUUCCAUGGCUUUUGGC